rnacentral:rRNA from 1 species
AUUGAACGCUAGCGGGAUGCUUUACACAUGCAAGUCGAACGAGUGGCGGACGGGUGAGUAAUAUAUCGGAACGUGCCCAGUAGCGGGGGAUAACUACUCGAAAGCGUGGCUAAUACCGCAUACUAUUGGCGUGGCCGAUAUCGGAUUAGCUAGUUGGUGGGGGAAAGGCUCACCAAGGGGACGAUCCGUAGCUGGUUUGAGAGGAAGACCAGCCACACUGGGACUGAGACACGGCCCAGACUCCUACGGGAGGCAGCAGUGGGGAAUUUUGGACAAUGGGGGAAACCCUGAUGCAGCCAUCCCGCGUGUAUGAGAAGGCCUUCGGGUUGUAAAGUACUUUUGGCAGGGAGGCGUUAUCUGCAGAAUAAGCACCGGCUAACUACGUGCCAGCAGCCGCGGUAAUUC